GAAAGCCAGAGUCAUGAAUAUUCUAGAGGUUAUGCUCAUGAUGCAGGCAGUCACCAGAAUCAAGGGGCUUAUGGUUCACCCUGGACACAGGGACUUGUUCAUAAACAAAGGAUAAAUCCUCAAUUAACACAUACCGACAGUUUUGUUCUGGAUGUUUGUGAUACUUCAGAAGAUAUCUCUAUUGGGCAGACGCUUAAGCGUCCACUUGUGUUUAAUCAGUUAGCAGAAGAACAGAAACACAUCAGACCAGAGGAUGUAAAGUACAGACCGAAUUUGGCAAUACAGAACGAGAAGUUCGGAGAUUUUGCUCCUAAAGAUACAAAAGAUCAAAGAAGCAUCCUCAUGCUGGAGGUUAUCUCAGGACCCUGUCAAGGUCUUCAACAUUCCAUGCAGUCAACAGAUACAUCUAGGCUUCCACUUACUCUUGGAAGAGUGACACCUAGUGAUAUCUUGGUGAUGGAUUCAGAGGUUUCUGGCAAGCAUGCUAUGAUAAACUGGAAUAUAAAUAAAUUGAGGUGGGAGCUGGUUGACAUGGGUAGCUUGAAUGGCACACUAGUAAAUUCCAAUGCUGUGCAUAAUCCUCAUUCUGGGAGCAGACAGUGGGGCGAUCCAAUUGAGCUUGCAAAUGGGGACAUAAUAACACUUG
rnacentral:misc_RNA from 1 species